AACGCUGGCGGCGCGCUUAACACAUGCAAGUCGAGCGAGAUCCAGGCCUUCGGGCCUGGGGACAGCGGCGAACGGGUGAGUAACACGUGGGUAAUCAACCCUCGACACUGGGAUAGCCCGGGGAAACCCGGAUUAAUACCGGAUGGCCCUUUGGAUCUUCGGAUCUGACGGGAAAGGUAGCUUCGGCCUCCGGUCGAGGACGAGCCCGCGGCGGAUUAGCUUGUUGGUGAGGUAACGGCUCACCAAGGCGACGAUCCGUAGCUGGUCUGAGAGGACGAUCAGCCACACUGGGCCUGAGACACGGCCCAGGCUCCUCCGGGAGGCAGCAGGGGGGAAGCUUGCGCUAAUGCGGGAAACCGUGACGCAGCGACGCCGCGUGAGGGAAGAAGGCCUUCGGGUUGUAAACCUCUUUCAGGAGGGACGAAGCCACUCGGGUGAAUAGCCCAGAGGGUGACGGUACCUCCAGAAGAAGCCCCGGCUAACUACGUGCCAGCCGCCGCAGUAA
rnacentral:rRNA from 1 species